rnacentral:rRNA from 1 species
UACGUAGGGUGCGAGCGUUGUCCGGAAUUAUUGGGCGUAAAGAGCUCGUAGGCGGUUUGUCGCGUCUGCUGUGAAAUCCCGAGGCUCAACCUCGGGCCUGCAGUGGGUACGGGCAGACUGGAGUGCGGUAGGGGAGAAUGGAACUCCUGGUGUAGCGGUGGAAUGCGCAGAUAUCAGGAGGAACACCGGUGGCGAAGGCGGGUCUCUGGGCCAUUACUGACGCUGAGGAGCGAAAGCGUGGGGAGCGAACAGG